GAGAGUGAUUGGUCUGCUGAAGAUGAUAAGGGUGAGUUUGGUAGUGAGGGAGGAGAUGAGGCUUCUUCCGAGGAUUCUAUAUAAACCAGGACCAGAUGAGAUUGCUGAUGAUGAUGAUAAUGAGGAAUGGAUGGCAGAAGCAUGUGAAGUUGCAGAUAGGAUUGAAAGUGGCAGUACUGAGUCUUCAAGACAGAAAAGGCCAAAAUAGAGGGUUCAUCUUGCCUUUAACUUAGUCAUUGAGGAUUCAAAAAAAAUUGACAAGGCUCAAGCAAGAGGAGAUGAUCUUGUUCCCGUUGAUGAGGAGGGCCAUUUAUACAAAUAUUGAUUAUUAUCCUGAAAGGAGAGUGAGUGAGGAUGAAGAUGAUGAGAGAAUGCUAGUUGAUUUUCACGAAGGGGCACCAUUUGGUAGGUACCAUUUGGAGUUGGAAGUAGUUUUUUCAACACUUAAACUAUUCAAAAAUGUUGUGAGGGAUUACAAUAUUUAUUUUGGCAAGCUGUGAAGUUCAAGAAGAAUGAUAAAGUUAGAUGCAGAGCAAAUUAUCUUCAGGAGCAUUGUGAGUGACAUAUUCUUUAUUCAUGGGCAGAGCAUGUAGGGGGUUUCCAAAUCAAGACUUACUAUCCACACACAUUUGCAGGAGGGUUUUGAGGAAUUCACAUGCAAACAGGAAAUGGGUGGGGAAGAAACUAGGGGAUGCUUUGAGGAUGUACCCAAAUUUGAUAGCCAAAGGCAAGGGCAAAAUUGUGGUUGCAACAAGUCAUGUAGAGGGCCAUACUGCAGAGACAUUGGUGCAAUCAUAGCAAGUGUUUUCUUAUGCAUCAUUGUUCAUAUACAGUAUCAGUUUUGAGGCCUUAAGUGUUUUUUUUUCCCCUUGCAAAGCAAUGACAUAUCAUGACCAUCUCUAACCAUUCAGACUUGGAGUCCAACCUUAGCAACAUAGUCAAUGCCAGUAUUCAUCCCAAAUCCUGGCAUUAAUAUUCAACAGAGGGUACGUUAAAUAUAAUUAAACUAAAGGUUCAGUUUAAUUGCACACGUAAUUCGUUGUGUUCAUUGACUAUUGCAGGUGAAAUAAACCACUUGGUUUUGCUUAUGGAUGGUCUCCCAUGAAUUAGAUUACCUAUCCAAAUAUGCCUCAGAGCUCUUUCAGUUCAGUUGUAAGAACACCCCCCCCAAACCCAAAGGCGCCAAAGACUGCUCAUGUCCCAUGUGUUGGUGCUCAAGCACCAGUGGCACCUGGGUCCUCCUGAACCAUCAUCUAGUCCAACUGGCAGUUCAAGAGCUUGAGCUGCACCAGCUGGACAAAGGGAUCGAGAGUGUGUUACAAAAGAGACACUCUAGGCAGUAACAAGGUUCACUAGGAGAAUGGCUGCCAAAUAAGGCUUGAGUCCUCAUCGAGCUCUAGCCAAAACUUUCCCACUCAGGAAUCAUGCGGCAAACAAGCUCACAAGAAGAAGUACAUGGAUAACUCAUGAAACUUGUCAGCACCCCAUUUUGGUUCACCGGCUCCUGAAGGGGUAAAAUCGUCAUUUGUCACCCGUAAGAGGGAAGUAUUUUCGGCUAAUUGCUCGAGCGCUCACGACCUUUGGAAAUGGGGUAUUUUUCUAAUUCAACACCAAUUUUAUAAUUUUUCAAAAUAAUAAUAAUAAUGUUAUUUGAGACUUCUUUGGAUUUUGCGCGCAUCAUCAUCAAUUUUCAUAAUCCGAGACUAAAUUAAGAACGAAAAAUAUUUUAUUACAUAACAUUGAUCCAUAAAUUUUUCUGAAAACAAUGUCAGUUCCGGAUCAUUUUUCGACAUCCAAUUGCAAAGACAUGAAUUUAAAUCUCUACGCGCAUUAGAUUAAAAAACAAAAGGCUCAAAUCUCUUCUCUUUUCCUUCUCUAGUUCUUCUCCUUAAAAAAAAAAAAAGUCAAAAGGUCAAAGGCAACUGACCGUUGCCCCUCACUCCCCCCAUUUUUUUGUCAUCUUCUGCUCUUCUUUUCUUUCCUCUUCCCUUCUUCUUUCUUCUUCGACAGGAUCCGGAAAAAAAAAAAA